rnacentral:rRNA from 1 species
GACAGAGGUGCCAAGCGUUAGGCGGAAUCACUGGGCUUAAAGCGUGUGUAGGCGGAUGCCUAAGUACCUUGUGAAAUCCCCCGGCUCAACCGGGGAACUGCUGGGUAUACUGGGUGUCUUGGGUCAUCUAGGGGCUGCCGGAACAAAUGGUGGAGCGGUGAAAUGCGUAGAUAUCAUUUGGAACGCCAACGGCGAAAGCAGGCAGCUGGGGAUGCACCGACGCUGAGACACGAAAGCCAGGGGAGCGAACGGG